rnacentral:lncRNA from 1 species
AGUAUUAUUUAACAUUUUAAUUACUGAAAGUUUAAUGGACAUUUUGAAACUUUCUGAGACAUUCUACAUCUAAAAUAUUUAGUAAUCUUAGGAUAUCACAACACCGCAGAAAUUUCUUCUUUUUAUCUUUAUUGAAUUUGGUGAUUACCUCGUUUAAAUUCUAUUGCUAGAGUAAGGACAUUCAAUUUAAUUAUUUUUAUGUCUGCAACAUGCAUUCUUACAUGCGGCCAUGAUUCUUUCUUCUUGGCCAAACACGUGAAAAUAUCUUUACUUUUGGAUGGCGUUAAGAUUUGAAUAUUCGAAACCUUGUUUUGGCCAAUUGUGUGAUCAAUAACAAUAACAACAAACUUAGAAUAAUUUCACAAGUGGGGUAUCGAAAGAAUAAUGUUUAUGCAAAUCUUACCCUUGUCUUGAGAAGCUAGAUAGACUGUUUCCGAUAAACCCUCGACUCAAGAAAGGAUGAAAAGGCAGUAGAAAUUAAAUAAGCAGUAAUAUCAGCAAGAUAAUAAAAUAAUCGAAGCAAAAGAAUCAGUAUGUAGUGAGAAAAAUCUGAAAAUAAGUAAAUACAAGACUAACACUUAUAUUACUAGUAAGGACAAGGGAGAUGCACGGCUACCUACUAACCUUCUAUCCUAAUUCUCGACCUUCACGCCCUCCUAUCAAGGGUCAUGUCCUUACUAUUUAGGAUAGAAGGUUAGUGGGACAAGACAGAUGCACGACUACCUACUAACUUUCUAUCCUAAUUCUCGAACUCCACGUCCUUCUAUCAAGGGUCAUGUCCUCGGUAAGCUGAAGCAACGCAAUAUCCUGUCAAUUGUGUGAUCAUUUUAUUUAAAACUUAAGCUAUUAGAGGAGGAACCUAAAUUCAUCCUAAUUUAUUUAUGUAUGCAGCACUGAGAAUUAAUAUGGUUACAAAUUAAUUUACUCCUUUAUUGGUUAACCUAUAACUAAUACAUUACUCUACAUAACCUAAUUUGAUGCAGCAAUGAAUUCAAACAACAUUACUAAUCAGAAGACGGGUGCCGGAAUCAUCCGUAAGAUACCGGGUUGGAUACGAAAAGGUGCAAAACCAGGAGGCAAAGUCGCCGGCAAAGCUUGUAAAAUUUGCUCAUGUAAAUACCAGAUUUGCAGCAAAUGUCCUAAAUGUCAUGACUAAAGUUAGGCCUUGAGACUAUGUACUUGUGCUGGUGUGAGUUUAAUUUUGAGAGUAAAGGGAAAGUUAUGAAUAGCCUAAUAUAAUUCUAUUCACUAUGUUUUCUUAGUAAUUCUUAUUGUUGAAACUUGGAACAGGUCUUUGGGUCAAAAUGUACCUCUUGUCUUGUAGUCUUUCAACUGUAUGGUAUUGUACUGUAUUUUUCUUUAGCCACUUGAUAUCAAAUCCGAUUAAAUCUAAUUUGCGUUGCAUAUGUUCUACCACAGUCAGACCUUUCUAAAACAACAUUCGUAUAUAACAGUCUUUCAUUAUAAAAAUUAAUUUUUUCUUGGAAUCGAUUUUUUAUGUUAUGCUAUAAUAUAUGUUUUCUUUAACAGCACUUCACUAUAUAUAGCAGCCACCUGCUUUACAGCAAAGAUUACAUAUCGGAUACCUCUAACAUGAAUCCAGCACUCCUUUACAAGCUAAUUAUUAAUUUUGCCUUGAACAGUAUAAAGUUUAAUCCGAAUACUAUUCCGUAAUCAUAUAUUAGUCUCAUAGAUCUACUAUUCCGCAAAUUUAACCCC